GUGCCAGCCGCCGCGGUAAUACCGGCAGCACGAGUGAUGGCCGAUAUUAUUGGGCCUAAAGCGUCCGUAGCUGGCCGGACAAGUCCGUUGGGAAAUCCACGUGCCUAAAACGUGGGCGUCCAGCGGAAACUGUCCGGCUUGGGGCCGGAAGACCCGAGGGGUACGUCCGGGGUAGGAGUGAAAUCCUGUAAUCCUGGACGGACCGCCGGUGGCGAAAGCGCCUCGGGAGGACGGACCCGACAGUGAGGGACGAAAGCCAGGGUCUCGAACCGGAUUAGAAACACCAGUAGUCC
rnacentral:rRNA from 1 species